UCACAGAACGACUCUCGGCAACGGAUAUCUCGGCUCUCGCAUCGAUGAAGAACGUAGCGAAAUGCGAUACUUGGUGUGAAUUGCAGAAUCCCGCGAACCAUCGAGUCUUUGAACGCAAGUUGCGCCCGAAGCCAACAGGCCGAGGGCACGUCUGCCUGGGCGUCACGCA
rnacentral:rRNA from 2 species